rnacentral:rRNA from 1 species
CCAUGUGACAUACCUACUGUUGCUUCGGCGGGAUUGCCCCGGGCGCCUCGUGUGCCCCGGAUCAGGCGCCCGCCUAGGAAACUUAAUUCUUGUUUUAUUUUGGAAUCUUCUGAGUAGUUUUUACAAAUAAAUAAAAACUUUCAACAACGGAUCUCUUGGUUCUGGCAUCGAUGAAGAACGCAGCGAAAUGCGAUAAGUAAUGUGAAUUGCAGAAUUCAGUGAAUCAUCGAAUCUUUGAACGCACAUUGCGCCCGCCAGUAUUCUGGCGGGCAUGCCUGUCUGAGCGUCAUUUCAACCCUCAUGCCCCUAGGGCGUGGUGUUGGGGAUCGGCCAAAGCCCGCGAGGGACGGGCGGCCCCUAAAUCUAGUGGCGGACCCGUCGUGGCCUCCUCUGCGAAGUAGUGAUAUUCCGCAUCGGAUAGCGACGAGCCCCUGCCGUUAAACCCCCAACUUUCCAAGGUUGACCUCAGAUCAG